rnacentral:rRNA from 1 species
UGUUAAACAGUCGAAAUAAUUAUUUGCCGAGUUCCUUAAUUAAUUAUUAUUUAUAUUAUAUUUUGUUUUGUCUAGGUUAUUAUUAAUAUUUUUAUAUAAUACUUAUUUUUACAUAUUAAAUAGAGGUGAUAGUGUUCUCCUCAUAUUUCAACUUUAUUUGGCAUAGUUAUAUUAUGUAUUUUACCCUUAUUUGUUACGGUAAAGUAUUUGUGGUGGCUGAUUUUAGGCCUAUAGUAGAAAAUUGGGUUGAUGUGGUUAUUGCUUAUAUUAUUGGGCUUAUCCUCAAUAAUUUUACACUAUAAUAUAAUUAUAUGUUUUAAUGUAUAAUGUUUGUUGAAAACCAGCUAUAUUCUUAUGCGGAUGGUAUGUAGCCUCUGUUAAACUGUCUUUUAGAACUUUUUCUACAGUUGUUAAUGGGUUCUUAACAGCAGUUUAACAUCUCAUUUAGAAUUCGGGAUUAAUAUUUUUAAUUAUUUUCUUGUAAAACCAUAAUGCACAAGGUACAAUUAUUAAGGAUUACUUUUGUUUAUUGUUGAUUCCAUUUCUGUACUAUAUUAUUUAUUGGGUUGUUUUAAUUGUUUUUAUUAUUUUAUUAUUUUAUAAGAUUGUUUUACUUAUGCGAAGUAAGUUUGUAACUUUAUUUUUAGUGUAAGUAAAAAGCAUUAUAUAUGCUAUACUUCGACAGGUACAAUUUCCAUUACACCUACUUUGUUACGACUUAUCUAACCUUUAGGAUAGAGUGACGGGCGAUGUGUACAUGUCUUAGAUUUUUAUUCAUUUUUUUAACUUGUAAGUUAAUUACAGCCAAGUCCACUUUCAUAAGAUUUUUUAUUUCUUAGUUGAUAGUCUGUUUUGGGGUUGUAACCCAUCAUCACCUUCUUAUUAGCUGCACUUUGACCUGAUGUAUAUGAGUUAGUUAUUAAUCAUAAUAGCAUACUUAUUCUUUUAAAGGUAUGCUUACAACGGCCAGUAUACAUGCUGUAUAAUCUAAAGA